rnacentral:rRNA from 1 species
CCUACGGGAGGCAGCAGUGGGGAAUAUUGCGCAAUGGGCGAAAGCCUGACGCAGCGACGCCGCGUGAGGGAUGAAGGUCUUCGGAUCGUAAACCUCUGUCAGCAGGGAAGCACGGUCACUGUGCUAAUCAGCAGUGAAUUGACGGUACCUGCAAAGGAAGCACCGGCUAACUCCGUUCCAGCAGCCGCGGUAAUACGGAGGGUGCGUGCGUUAAUCGGACUUACUGGGCGUAAAGGGCUCGUCGGCGGUAUGUCAAGUCAAGGGUGAAAUCCCCGCGCUCAACGGGGGAACUGCCUUUGAAACUGGCAAACUGGAGUGUGGGAGAGGAUAGUGGAAUUCCAGGUGUAGGAGUGA